rnacentral:lncRNA from 1 species
AACAAAAUCCAUAAAGUAUUUUUUUGUUAGCGAGAUAACGCCGUCUUCACUAGGGAGAGACGGCCUGUUCAAACCAGAGGCCUAUAAGUAGAGUUACGUCACCGGGCUAUCCGGUUUGACGAUAGCUGACUUCCUCAUGUGUUUGAGUCACGGCCCAAAACAUUCAAGAUUUAAUACUAUAUUCUAGAUGAAGAACUCAACAAAGGCAAUAUAUUUUGUUAAAAUACACCAAGUAUGCCCACUUGUCGUGCGCUGUGGAUUACAGGAAUCGUUCUUGAGCUGAGGGGAUGACACUUUUUCAUUUCCAACGGACAAAUUCCUUGGAAGGCAAUGGGUCCUAAAAAUGAAAUAAAAUAUUUGGUAACUAUAAUCUAAUUCUUGAUUAUGCUCUAAAUAUUCUGAAGAAAUAAGGAAUUCCAACUCUAAAGCCAUUCCAACAUUGUUUAAACAUCUAAAACCUAAAGUUCCAAGGCUCACCAAAAACUCCAACAAACCCAUUUUUAUUUGGGAAAACAAUGCUGAUGCUAAGAAAAUUUAAUAAUGAAGGAAAUCUCGGGCAACUUUUUAUUUCGAAUUUCAGAUAUUUCUCCUGAGGUAAAACAUCUAAAGGAAAGAAAUACCAACAUACAAACAACUUGGAGUCUAUCAAGCAGAAAUAAAGGAAUUGAAGAAGAAGUUGAAGGAGAAAGAUGUCAAAAUUCGCUUCCCUUCAGUAUUUAAUUCAAAUCAUAUGAAAUCUUUAAGUUACAAGUCUUCACAUUCCAAAAUCCGUUUUUGGUCUAAUAAAACUAUCAAGGAUUCCUGAAAA